GCCGGGUGUGGUGGCUCAUGCCUGUCAUCCCAGCAGCUCAGGAGGCUAAGAUAGGAGGAUCACAAGUUCAAAGGCAGCCUCAGCAAUGGUGAGGCCCUAAGCAACUCAGUGAGACCCUGUCUCUA
rnacentral:sRNA from 1 species